rnacentral:rRNA from 1 species
AUGAUCCUACGUGAUCACACGGGUGUGGUUAUCUACGCGGCAUGCAGAUGGAUCCAUAACUGCCUGGGCACACUGGAGCCGGAGUUAUCGGCAUGUGAGAAGGGCCUGAAUCUGGCAUCGCACUGGACUCCCUUACCUAUCCAGGUGGAGACAGACUGUGCAGAUAUCUUGAAGGCAUUCUCUGGUUCAAAUGGAAGAUCAAGGAAUAUGUUUCAGGUGACGGUUGUCUCGGAGAUGCUGCAAGAAAGAUCAAUGCAAAUCACAAAAAUCGGUAGAUCCCAGAAUAAGGCUGCACAUGCUAUGGCAGCGAUGGGUCGUGGUCAACAGUGUACAGCUUAUUGGUUAGAAAAUUCCCCCCAGGAGAUUAGCAUUGUCAUUUCAAACGAUUGA